rfam:Dipodomys ordii contig_29237, whole genome shotgun sequence.
GGUGGCUCAGUGGUAGAGCACUUGCCUUGCAUGCAUGAGACCCUGGGUUCGAUUCCUCAGCACCA